AUGUCUCUCUCUCUCUCUACCUCUCUAUCUAUCUCUCUAUCUAUCAUCUAUCUAUCUCUCCGUCUCUCUCUCUGUCUGUCUAUCUAUCUAUCUAUGUCUCUCUCUCUAUCGAUUUAUCUAUCUAUCUAUCUCUAUCUCUCUCCCUGUAUCUAUCUAUCUAUUUCUAUCUAUGUAUCUCUCUCUAUCUUUCUCUCUCUCUCUCUAUCUAUCUAUCUAUCUCUCACUCUCUCUCUCUCUCUAUCUAUCUAUCUCAUCUAUCUAUCUGUUGGGUUUCGUAGUAAUUUCAAAAAAAAUCCUACGCUCACGCAAGAUCAUGGUGAUGCAUAG
rnacentral:rRNA from 1 species